rnacentral:snoRNA from 1 species
AGGAACCACUUCAUCUUUUUCUGACCUCUGCGAUUUUAAAGUUUUAACAUUUGAGCUUGCUAUAGCAAGAAAGUCUAACCGAUUCUGCUGUUCUCUCUUGGUAGGACAAGCCGUUAUAUAGACGUUAACAGU